AAGCCAGAGGGACUCCAGGGUUUGGUGCGUACAUCUGGGAUGCCAGGAGAAUUACAGCAAAUUCCAGGGGAGCUGGGGAUAAAGAGCGGGGCCUCUCUUUGUCUUUAACAAAACAAACUCCUGGAUACCCCUGACGGACCUCAAGGUAUUCAAAAACUUACAGUCAUUCUCCUGUCUCAGCCAACCGAGUGCUGGGAUCAGACUCCCGAGGAACAGCAUGGCACAGCUGAGUUGGCUGUAGCUCUGUGGAGUAGAGCUUUGAGAGGACCAGCGAGACGGCACAGCUGGUCAAGAUGCUUGCUGCCAAGUCUAGUGACCUGGGUUCGAUACCCAGAACCCACACAUUGGAAAGAAGGAACAGGCGGACUUCGACACGUGUGCCUGGGCCGGGAGCCUGCACAAGCACACGCACGUGUGCACAUACACAUUAAUUAAUUAAAAAAUAUAAAGAGCUUCAUUUUCCUUAUUUGCAAAUGGGAGUACAGGGCUCAACACUAAGUGCCCAAUAAAUGCAAAGGCCAGAAAAUCAAGCUGACCUACUUUUUAAAUUAA
rnacentral:lncRNA from 1 species